rnacentral:rRNA from 1 species
GACGAACGCUGGCGGCGUGCUUAACACAUGCAAGUCGAACGGAAAGGCCCUGCUUUUGUGGGGUGCUCGAGUGGCGAACGGGUGAGUAACACGUGAGUAACCUGCCCUUGACUUUGGGAUAACUUCAGGAAACUGGGGCUAAUACCGGAUAGGAGCUCCUGCUGCAUGGUGGGGGUUGGAAAGUUUCGGCGGUUGGGGAUGGACUCGCGGCUUAUCAGCUUGUUGGUGGGGUAGUGGCUUACCAAGGCUUUGACGGGUAGCCGGCCUGAGAGGGUGACCGGCCACAGUGGGACUGAGAUACGGCCCAGAGUCCUAGGGGGGGCAGCAGUGGGGAAUAGUGCACAAUGGGCGGAAGCCUGAUGCAGCAACGCCGCGUGCGGGAUGACGGCCUUCGGGUUGUAAACCGCUUUCGCCUGUGACGAAGCGUGAGUGACGGUAAUGGGUAAAGAAGCACCGGCUAACUACGUG